GCGCCCGUAGCUCAGUUGGUUCGAGCAACGGCCUUCUAAGCCGUGGGUCGCAGGUUCGAAUCCUGCAGGGCGCGCUA
rnacentral:tRNA from 1 species